rnacentral:rRNA from 1 species
AUUGAACGCUGGCGGCAUGCCUUACACAUGCAAGUCGAACGGUAACAGGUCUUCGGAUGCUGACGAGUGGCGAACGGGUGAGUAAUACAUCGGGACGUGCCUAGUAGUGGGGGAUAACUACUCGAAAGAGUGGCUAAUACCGCAUGAGAUCUACGGAUGAAAGCAGGGGAUCGCAAGACCUUGUGCUACUAGAGCGGCCGAUGGCAGAUUAGGUAGUUGGUGGGAUAAAAGCUUACCAAGCCGACGAUCUGUAGCUGGUCUGAGAGGACGAUCAGCCACACUGGGACUGAGACACGGCCCAGACUCCUACGGGAGGCAGCAGUGGGGAAUUUUGGACAAUGGGCGAAAGCCUGAUCCAGCAAUGCCGCGUGCAGGAUGAAGGCUUUCGGGUUGUAAACUGCUUUUGUACGGAACGAAAAGCCCUGGGUUAAUACCCUGGGGUCAUGACGGUACCGUAAGAAUAAGCACCGGCUAACUACGUGCCAGCAGCCGCGGUAA